GCCUUGUCACAUUGAGUUUAGUUGUAAGGUUCUCUCCAGUAUGUCUUAUUCGAUGUUUAGUGACGCCUGAGCGACAAAUAAAAGAUUUCCCACACUCAUUACAUUUAUAAGGUUUUUUGCCAGAAUGAAUUCUUUGGUGUUUGUUGAGGGAAAACAACCGCCCAAAGGCUUUGCCACAUUCAAUACAUUUGUAUCUUUUCUCUCCAGUGUGGAUUCUCUGGUGACUUAAAAGAUGUGAACUAUGCCUGAAUACCUUGCCACAUUCAUCACAUUUAUAUGGUUUCUUUCCUGCAUGAAUUAUCUGAUGUGCAGUGAGGUUUGAGCUCCGUUUAAAGGUUUUGCCACACUCAUUACAUUUGUAAGGUCUGUCUCCAGUAUGAACAGUCUGAUGAAGUCUAAGAUGGACACGCUGACUAAAGGAAUUCCCACACUGAUUGCAUUUAUAAGGUUUCUCUCCGGUAUGAAUUCUCUGAUGUCUAUUGAGUGUGGAGCCCUGAUUAAAGGCUUUGCCACAUGCAUUACAUUUGUAUGGUUUCUCUCCAGUAUGAACUCUUCGAUGCCCUACAAGAUGUGAAUACUGACUGUAGACCUUGCCGCAUUCAUUGCAUUUGUAAGGUUUCUCUCCACUAUGAAUUCUCCGAUGCACUGUAAGACGUGAACAUUGACUGAAGACCUUGCCACAUUCUUUGCAUUUGUAAGGCUUCUCUCCAGUAUGAAUUCUCCGAUGCCUUGCAAAAGCUGAACGGUCACUGAAGACCUUGCCACAUUCUUUGCAUUUGUAAGGUUUCUCUCCAGUAUGAAUUCUCCGAUGCACUGCAAGACGUGAAUGUUGACUGAAGACCUUGCCACAUUCAUUGCAUUUGUAAGGUUUCUCUCCAGUAUGAAUUCUCUGAUGAGCUGCAAGUCGUGAAUGUAUGCUGAAAACUUUGCCACAUUCAUUGCAUUUAUAAGCUUUCUCGCCGGUAUGAAUUCUCCAAUGCACUGCAAGACGUGAAUGCUUACUGUAGACCUUGCCACAUUUACUGCAUUUGUAAGUUUUCUGUCCAGUAUGAAUUCUCUGAUGCACUGCAAGACUUGAACGUUUACGGAAGACCUUGCCACAUUCAUUGCAUUUGCAAGGUUUCUCUACAGUGUGAAUUCGUCGAUGCACUGCAAGACUUGAACGUUUACUGAAGACCUUGCCACAUUCAUUGCAUUUGUAAGGUUU
rnacentral:lncRNA from 1 species